CUGAGUCCUGGAUGUGCCCUGCUGUCCUCAGCCUCCAGCCUCUGGUCAGGCUCCUCCCUCUGCCCUCAGCCCUUCCAGCAGAUCCACAGGGACAGGCUGAUGCCUCCCAACUACCCAGCAUCCUGGGGACUGUUGUGGUCCUGCUGCUGAUCCUGGGAGCUGGACUGUUCCUCUGGAGGACACGAGUGAAGAAGAGCCUGGAGCCUGGGAGAGGUGCAGGGUCGCAGGAGGAGCACAGGGACCCUGAUGGUGGCAUCCACUAUGCAGAGCUG
rnacentral:lncRNA from 1 species